CCUACGGGAGGCAGCAGUAAGGAAUAUUGGUCAAUGGAGGCAACUCUGAACCAGCCAUGCCGCGUGCAGGAAGACAGCCCUCUGGGUCGUAAACUGCUUUUAUUCGGGAAUAAACCUCAUUAUGUAUAGUGAGCUGAAUGUACCGAAGGAAUAAGGAUCGGCUAACUCCGUGCCAGCAGCCGCGGUAAUACGGAGGAUCCAAGCGUUAUCCGGAUUUAUUGGGUUUAAAGGUGCGUAGGCGGCUUUUUAAGUCAGGGGUGAAAGACGGUAGCUCAACUAUCGCAGUGCCCUUGAUACUGAAGAGCUUGAAUGGACUAGAGGUAGGCGGAAUGUGACAAGUAGCGGUGAAAUGCAUAGAUAUGUCACAGAACACCGAUUGCGAAGGCAGCUUACUAUGGUUUUAAUUGACGCUGAGGCACGAAAGCGUGGGGAUCAAACAGGAUUAGACACCCUGGUAGUCCACGCCCUAAACGANANAUACUACNCUGUAGUCGAUACACAGUAGUCGCGAGACGAAGAGUAAGUAGUUACGUACCGUCGGUAAGGUACGGUACGUUCGAGUAGUUAGUUAACGUACGAAGAAGUUAGUACGGACGAGACGAGACGACGGACGACGACGAGGGAGGAGG
rnacentral:rRNA from 1 species